UUACACAUGCAAGUCGAACGGCAGCACGGAGCUUGCUCUGGUGGCGAGUGGCGAACGGGUGAGUAAUAUAUCGGAACGUACCCUGGAGUGGGGGAUAACGCAGCGAAAGUUGCGCUAAUACCGCAUACGAUCUACGGAUGAAAGUGGGGGAUCGCAAGACCUCAUGCUCGUGGAGCGGCCGAUAUCUGAUUAGCUAGUUGGUAGGGUAAAAGCCUACCAAGGCAUCGAUCAGUAGCUGGUCUGAGAGGACGACCAGCCACACUGGGACUGAGACACGGCCCAGACUCCUACGGGAGGCAGCAGUGGGGAAUUUUGGACAAUGGGGGCAACCCUGAUCCAGCAAUGCCGCGUGAGUGAAGAAGGCCUUCGGGUUGUAAAGCUCUUUUGUCAGGGAAGAAACGGUGAUUCUUAAUACGGAUUGCUAAUGACGGUACCUGAAGAAUAAGCACCGGCUAACUACG
rnacentral:rRNA from 1 species